AGAUGUCCAGACGUUUGGAAGAAUAAUUUUUGAAAAAUGAAUUAAUUCUUAAUUAUUUUAGAAUGUUAUAUUUUAAAUAAUUAAAUGAGGAGUUAAUUUUUUUUUCCAAUCGCUUAUCACCUUAGCAUGCAUUUAUUGUUUAUUUUAUUUUAUAAAUAUAUAAUAAAUAUGUAUUCAAUGUGUUAUACACGUUUAUUAUUUAUUAUUAUUUAUGGAUUGAAUAAACGAUACGGCAGUAUUCUUCACCAUGACGAUUAAAUGCAUUGAGUCAUAGAAGCGAGACA